CAAUAGCGUAUAUUAAAGUUGUUGCAGUUAAAAAGCUCGUAGUUGGAUUUGUGGCGGUUCCUGUGGUCCGAUUUCGGUACUUUCGGGGACUGCCAUCCUUGGGUGGAUCCUGUGUGGCAUUAGGUUGUCGUGCAGGGGAUGCCCAUCGUUUACUGUGAAAAAAUUAGAGUGUUCAAAGCAGGCUUACGCCGUUGAAUAUAUUAGCAUGGAAUAAUGAGAUAGGACCUUGGUACUAUUUUGUUGGUUUGCGCACCGAGGUAAUGAUUAAUAGGGACAGUUGUGGGUAUUCGUAUUCCAUUGUCAGAGGUGAAAUUCUUGGAUUUAUGGAAGACGAACGAAUGCGAAAGCAUUUACCAAGGAUGUUUUCAUUAA
rnacentral:rRNA from 1 species